UGGUGGAGUGAUUUGUCUGGUUAAUUCCGUUAACGAACGAGACCUCGACCUUGUUAAAUAGUUCGGCGUAUCCCUGGAUACGUACGUGACUUCUUAGAGGGACUAUUGUGUGUGUAGCCAAUGGAAGUUCGAGGCAAUAACA
rnacentral:rRNA from 1 species